CCCUAUAGUAAACAGAUUUAGACUUUUUCAGUCAGUGUUGUUUUGUAAUCAUCAUUGAUUAAUGUAUAAAAGGAGUUGCAUUGUGGAAUAUAAAGUAGCGCAUGUGUGACGGACGCUACUUUUUCAUGCCAUUUGGCGAAUUUUUAUGGUGGAGUAUAUUUCACAACGGAUGGUCUCUACCCACCAGCCUGUAGGCUUGGUCAAAGCACUUGUACAGUCACAGAGGAAUUUCUCAUAUGGCCUUCCUGAUCACACCAUCCCCAUUGCGGACAACAGCCCAGUGCUUCUGGUGUGGGGCUGUUCACACAAAGUCAACCUGGUUUUAUGUAGCAAACCAGCAACCAGAUUUGAUCCAUUGCAAUCAAGGAUGCAUCAUCAAUGGAGUAAUGCACCCCAGAGGCUCAUCAAAGGCAGGAGGAAAAUAAGAGGGCCUGCAGUCAUGUGCACAGGUUUCACUAGCAGGACGUGACUAUAACUUCAGGAAAGAAAAUCACAGACUGUAGUCGGGCACUCCAAAACAACAUAAACUGACAAACUGAACAUCAUUUCAAAGUUUCUCUUCCUUUUCAUACAUCACAUUUGUCUUAAAUACAAAAUUUCACUUUAUCAAUAA